rnacentral:rRNA from 1 species
AACGAACGCUGGCGGCAGGCCUAACACAUGCAAGUCGAGCGAGGACUUCGGUCCUAGCGGCGGACGGGUGAGUAACGCGUGGGAACGUGCCCUUUGGUACGGAAUAGCCCCGGGAAACUGGGAGUAAUACCGUAUGGUGUCUUCGGACUAAAGAUUUAUCGCCAAAGGAUCGGCCCGCGUUGGAUUAGGUAGUUGGUGGGGUAAGUGGCCUACCAAGCCGACGAUCCAUAGCUGGUUUGAGAGGAUGAUCAGCCACACUGGGACUGAGACACGGCCCAGACUCCUACGGGAGGCAGCAGUGGGGGAAUCUUAGACAAUGGGGGCGAACCCUGAUCUAGCCAUGCCGCGUGAGUGAUGAAGGCCCUAGGGUUGUAAAGCUCUUUCAGCUGGGAAGAUAAUGACGGUACCAGCAGAAGAAGCCCCGGCUAACUCCGUG